rnacentral:rRNA from 1 species
GACGAACGCUGGCGGCGUGCUUAACACAUGCAAGUCGAACGGAAAGUCCCUGCUUUUGUGGGGUGCUCGAGUGGCGAACGGGUGAGUAACACGUGAGUAACCUGCCCAUGACUUUGGGAUAUCUUCAGGAAACUGGGGCUAAUACCGGAUAGGAGCUCCUGCUGCAUGGUGGGGGUUGGAAAGUUUCGGCGGUUGGGGAUGGACUCGCGGCUUAUCAGCUUAUUGGUGGGGUAGUGGCUUACCAAGGCUUUGACGGGUAGCCGGCCUGAGCGGGUGACCGGCCACAUUGGGACUAAGGAACGGCCCCGACGCCUCCGGGAGGCAGCAGUGGGGAAUAUUGCACAACGGGGGGAAGCCGGAUGCAGCAGCGCCGCGUGCGGGAUGAAGGCCGUCGGGGUGUAGACCGCUUCCGCCUGUGACGAAGCAUGAGUGACGGUAAUUGGUAAAGAAGCACCGGCUAACUACGUG